UUCGACCCAAGUUCAACAAUUUAGAGGCAAUGCUACCAAAUACUAAUUGAGUGUAUGUAUACUUCUGACCCACAGGGAAUGUGGGAAUGAUUGUUGCCUCUGAUUAUCCUCUGUAACAAGUGGACCAAUAAUCAGAGGCAACAAUCGAAGCAGAGAACAAUUUUCACGUGCAUUUCCACCAAUUCUUUUUUUUUACUGAGAAAGUCUGUGGUAUUGCGUGAGGCCGAUCGGUUUUUAUCUUCCCAUUUGUACUCAAACUUUCGUAUCAAAUUGCUACGUUUUUCUAAGGAGUUCAUGCGGCAUAUCAACUGUACCUCUAUCUACAUUCUUUUUCUGAGCUCGAUCGAUACUCUCCACGCAUGAAGGAGAUCUUUUGACACAAAGGUGGAGCGGCUGGAAGAAAGACAUCUCAUGGUUGGCCAUCUCCAAGGAUGACACAAUUACAUACAAGACGAGCAUGUGUCAUCAAGUCCUUGAGCACCUUCCUGAACGAAGACCAUGAGAAACUUGUGACGGAAUAUCUGAACACAGACCUUGAGUCCAACACUUCCAUGGAGCUAACUGUAAUGGGAGUGUAUGUCAUAAAGAAGGAUGGUGUGGAGCCUGGAGAUGACCCAGAGGACAUCGGUGUGGAGGCCCUCGGUGGUUUGGGGAACAUUGCGAUGGCUUGUGCUCUGUUGUUUGGACUGAUAUACUGUUUGGACCUAAGCUACCCACCAGAGCUCAAAUACACUUUUGAAGUCCUGCAGAAGAUUGUUCUAAAUCUGGAUGUGCAGAGGUUGUUGUCACAAUUCCUAAAAAAAAAACAAGCUCACUCCAGAAGCUUGAAGAAGACUGAUAGAAGUCUGGUAUUUGUCCAUAUCUCUGCAAUGCAGAUUUUUUUUAUGUUUAACUUUGAAUGUUUAAAAUUUGAGCUCAUAAAAAUGUUCAAAAGGACUAUUUAAUUUAGUUUGCUCAAAGGAAUGAGACGAAGAUUGUUGUCUCAUAGGUUGAAACGUCUCCUACGUUUGUUUGUGUGUGGGUGGAGCAGACACAGAGCAGUGUUGUUGGACACAUGUUAAAUAGGAAGAAUACAUCAUUAAUGGUUAUAGCCUCCUUAAAAUGUAGUAUUUGUAUUUACAAUGAUUUUUUUUAAAGCAUUUUAUCAACAUGGCAAACAAAAUUGCACACGCAACAUUACAGUAAUUAUUCACUACCUCUGAUUGAAUUUGUUUUAAAACGGUGUUAAAAUGCAUAUUGUUGCAGUCGUGCACACAUCUUUCUGGGUGAUUUGUAAACUUUGUUUUUAUUUAGGCCAAGUAUAUUUUGUAGGGUCCAAUGUAUAAUUUAUUGCAUUUUUAUAAAUGUGUUUUAAGAAGUUUAAUUGUUGCACUUAGAAUUUUAAAACUUGAAAUGACAGUCAUGCUCAAAUCCUGAAACAUUGUUUUUAAGGCUGUUUUCUUAAUGAGCCUCUUAUUUUGUUGGCAAAAUAUUCUACAUGUAUUUGUUACAAAAGUUGGAAGAAAUUGUUGAACGUUAACCUUAAAUGAUAAAAGUGCACACAUUU